rnacentral:rRNA from 1 species
GAUGAACGCUAGCGGGAGGCCUAACACAUGCAAGCCGAGCGGUAGAGAUCUUUCGGGAUCUUGAGAGCGGCGUACGGGUGCGGAACACGUGUGCAACCUGCCUUUAUCAGGGGGAUAGCCUUUCGAAAGGAAGAUUAAUACCCCAUAAUAUUUAGAAUGGCAUCAUUUUAAAUUGAAAACUCCGGUGGAUAGAGAUGGGCACGCGCAAGAUUAGAUAGUUGGUAGGGUAACGGCCUACCAAGUCUGCGAUCUUUAGGGGGCCUGAGAGGGUGAUCCCCCACACUGGUACUGAGACACGGACCAGACUCCUACGGGAGGCAGCAGUGAGGAAUAUUGGACAAUGGGUGCGAGCCUGAUCCAGCCAUCCCGCGUGAAGGAUGACGGCCCUAUGGGUUGUAAACUUCUUUUGUGUAGGGAUAAACCUAGAUACGUGUAUCUAGCUGAAGGUACUAUACGAAUAAGCACCGGCUAACUCCGUGCCAGCAGCCGCCGUAA